CCUACGGGCGGCUGCAGUAGGGAAUAUUGGUCAAUGGACGGAAGUCUGAACCAGCCAUCCCGCGUGCAGGAUGAAGGUCCUAUGGAUUGUAAACUGCUUUUAGCAGAGACGAAGACCCAUCAUUUAUGAUGGAGUGACGGUAUCUGCGGAAUAAGCACCGGCUAACUCCGUGCCAGCAGCCGCGGUAAUACGGAGGGUGCAAGCGUUAUCCGGAAUCACUGGGUUUAAAGGGUGCGUAGGCGGACUAUUAAGUCAGUGGUGAAAUCCUGUCGCUUAACGAUAGAACUGCCAUUGAUACUGAUUUUCUUGAAUUGGGUUGAGGUUAGCGGAAUGUGACAUGUAGCGGUGAAAUGCAUAGAUAUGUCAUGGAACACCAAUUGCGAAGGCAGCUAACUGGGCCUUGAUUGACGCUGAGGCACGAAAGCGUGGGUAGCGAACAGGCUUAGAUACCCCAGUAGUC
rnacentral:rRNA from 1 species